UACGUAGGUGGCAAGCGUUGUCCGGAAUUACUGGGUGUAAAGGGUUCGUAGGCGGUGUGGCAAGUCGGGAGUGAAAUCUCUGGGCUCAACCCAGAGUCUGCUUCCGAAACUGCUGUGCUUGAGUGUGGGAGAGGCGCGUGGAAUUGCAGGUGUAGCGGUGAAAUGCGUAGAUAUCUGCAGGAACACCCGUGGCGAAAGCGGCGCGCUGGACCACUACUGACGCUGAGGAACGAAAGCUAGGGGAGCAAACAGG
rnacentral:rRNA from 1 species